GAGAGCUCAGCAGAUACUGGUAGAGUGUCAAAAGCUUCUUCAAGUUGGAAGAUGCUCAGUCAUGAAGAAUCUUGCAUGAGAAACUGAAGUAUGAACCAAUAAUGGGAAUCUGAUGGUGAUGGGGAAUGAGGAUAAGCUUUAUUCCAAUCUGAUGGAGGCUUAUCUUCAUGAACCCGUACAUUGACGUGAUGGGCUUCAUUGGCGGUGGCUUCAUAUUAUCCUCUCACAACACUCUUUUUCCCCCUUUUGUUCUUUAUCUUUUGGCGUAUGCUCAAUUAUGUUCUCCACCUCCUACUAGAUAAGGGCU